AUUGAACGCUGGCGGCAUGCCUUACACAUGCAAGUCGAACGGCAGCACGGGAGCAAUCCUGGCGGCGAGUGGCGAACGGGUGAGUAAAGUAUCGGAACGUGCCCAGUCGUGGGGGAUAACGUAGAGAAAGCUACGCUAAUACCGCAUACGAGCUAUGGAUGAAAGGGGGGGAUCGCAAGACCUCGCUCGAUUGGAGCGGCCGAUAUCUGAUUAGGUAGUUGGUGGGGUAAAGGCUCACCAAGCCGACGAUCUGUAGCUGGUCUGAGAGGACGAUCAGCCACACUGGGACUGAGACACGGCCCAGACUCCUACGGGAGGCAGCAGUGGGGAAUUUUGGACAAUGGGCGAAAGCCUGAUCCAGCCAUGCCACGUGCAGGAUGAAGGCCUUCGGGUUGUAAACUGCUUUUGUACGGAACGAAAAGGUUUGGCCUAAUAAGCUGAGCUCAUGACGGUACCGUAAGAAUAAGCACCGGCUAACUACGUGCCAGCCGCCGCCGUAA
rnacentral:rRNA from 1 species